CAUGCAUGUCUAAGUACAAACCGAUUAAAUGGUGAAACCGCGAAUGGCUCAUUAUAUCAGUCGUAAUCUACAGGAUAUCGAUCCCACCUCGUUGGAUAACUGUGGUAAUUCUAGAGCUAAUACAUGCACCGAAGCUCCGGUCCUCGCUUCGGCGAGGGAAGGGCGCAUUUAUUAGACCCAAAAACCGAUACAAACUCGCCUAGCGCGAGCGGUACUGGGGACUCCGAAUAACUUCGCCGAGCGCUUCGGUCUCACGACCGGCGCCGUAUCCUUCGAGCGUCUGCCUUAUCAGCUCUAUCGUAAGGUAUCGGCUUACGACGGCUGUAACGGGUAACGGGGAAUCAGGGUUCGAUUCCGGAGAGGGAGCCUGAGAAACGGCUACCACAUCUAAGGAAGGCAGCAGGCGCGCAAUUUACCCAAUCCCGGCACGGGGAGGUAGUGACGAAAAAUACCGGUGCGGGUCUCCGACGAGGCAUCGCCAUCGGAUUGAGUUUAAACCAAAACCUUGGACGAGCGUCCAUUGGAGGGCAAGUCUGGUGCCAGCC
rnacentral:rRNA from 1 species